CAGCCGCCGCGGUAAUACGUAGGUGGCAAGCGUUAUCCGGAAUUAUUGGGCGUAAAGGGCUCGCAGGCGGUUUCUUAAGUCUGAUGCGAAAGCCCCCGGCUCAACCGGGGAGGGUCAUUGGAAACUGGGAAACUUGAGUGCAGAAGAGGAGAGUGGAAUUCCACGUGUAGCGGUGAAAUGCGUAGAGAUGUGGAGGAACACCAGUGGCGAAGGCGACUCUCUGGUCUGUAACUGACGCCGAGGAGCGAAAGCGUGGGGAGCGAACAGGAUUAGAGACCCGUGUAGUCCCUGUCUCUUAUAC
rnacentral:rRNA from 1 species